ACCUAGCAUGUGGGUGUGUCACUAUGUAUUGGGAAGGAAGGUAGAUAGAUUGUGUGUGUGUGUGUGUGUGUGUGUGUGUGUGUGUGUGAGUGAGUGUGAUGGUGGUGGCGACGGGGCUUGGCGAGUUGCACUGAGGUUCUUUAAAAGAGGGUGUUUUCUAAUUCUAGUCCUGGCUCAGAUGUGUGAAGGGUGGUUGGUGGAGUGGGAAGUGCAUGGGUGUCAGAGUCAGACAGAUUUGGAAGAUUCCUGACUUUAUGAUCUCGGGCAAGUUACUCAACCGCACCGAGAUUUUUGUCCACAUUUCUAAAAUGGGCGGGUUUUAAGAAUUAGAGAAAAUGUUUGAUGAAUACUUAAAACAGUUCUUAGCACCUGAUAGGUGCUACAGUGGUGACUAUUAUAUAUUUAGAAUCAUAUAAUCAGUAUUAAAUCUUCAAAUAUAUUUUGAAAACCUAUUAUGCAAACCUAGCUGAGUUGUAGGGUCUAAUGGUCAAAUAUAUAUUUUAUUUUUCUCCUUCAAACAGUUUUAAGUUAUUGAGAAAAGCCAGCACUUUUUAUAAAAUUACAGUUUUAUAAAUGCUUUUACAGAAUUUUAUCUAUCUACACAUAUUUAUCGAGCAUCUAGUUUGUGUGGGGCAUUUUGCUAAUUAUUUGGUGGAUGGUUGGAAAAAUACAGAUUUAUUGUACUAUGGUUUUCAUUGUGCUAUUAAGGAUAAUGCAUAGUGAAUUCUGCAACAGAGUUAGGGGAGGGACCAUAUCAAGAAUAUUGCACCAGUCAUUUCUAAAGACUACCCAGGAUGAGAAAAUGGCCACCGGAAUCCAGUUCUUUCAUCCUCUGCUAAACCAAAGGCUGUGUGACUUGCUACUUCUCAUUUACUCAGCAGGCGGCGCUCUAGCACCAGGAAUUGCAGAGAGUAGCAAUUUAGCAAAACAAGGACUUUUUUGGUUAAUGCUUGUUUUUCAGGCAAAAGAGGAAAGCUGUUAGGAAAAAUAAACAGUUUAUCAGGCAUUGCAACAAAGACACUUGAGGAAAAAGACAAGCUGUCACUUCAAGGACAGGAUGAAAAUUCCCUGCAUUUGUAGAAGCAUUAGAUGCUGGGCGCAUGCCUUAUAAGAAAAAAUCAUGAAAUGAGGAAGGAAAAAAAAUGAUGGAGAUAAAAGAGAAGAUUAAGAAAAUAGAAAACAAUUGAAAUCAUCUGCAAGCAAGGAUGGAGUAUAGUUCUGGGAGAGGAAUGUGGACGAGUAUUGUAGCAAUCGGAAAAAAUAAAAACUGCUGAAGUAUAAUUGAGAAUCAUUCUAAGUAUUCAGAUGUGCCAUUUACGUCUGAUGCCAGAAUUUCCUGCGUAAUUGGUUUCAGCUGUCCAGCCAACAUCCAGUUCUUGUUUUGUAGCUUUCAAUAUUUUGAGGUCUUCAGUACAUAGACUUUUGCACCUAAUGACAAGUGCCUGAUUUCUGAAUCAAAAUUGCUUCAUUGUUUUCCAAAUUUGCAUGUUAGGGAAACAGAACAGCUGAGUUAGGAACUAAGUUUUGGUGUAAGGGAUUUGGACAGGACCAGCUAAAAAAGGGAAAAGUAUUCACUGUGGAUUGGUGGGAAUUUGGAAGUGUUGUACGUGGUAACCUCAAUUAGAUUUAGGGAAGGUGCUACCAAUUUAAUCUUCACUUCCUCCACUGGGCCAUUAAAAUGGCUUUUUUUUGGAGGGGCUAUCAAAUUACUAGCUUAGACCCUUUUCAUAAGGUUGUUAAUCCAACAUCAUUUUAUGUGGUUUACUCUCAUGUAGGGAGGUUUUAUCAGCAGAAUACAUUAAAAUGAUCUGAAAAAACUCCAUAAAACACAAAAGGAUGAGCAGUUAUCAAAUUGAUUGCUAGUAUCUAACCACAGGCUCUGCAAUAAAUGAAUUGAAUUAGUGCAAUGGGAAAACUGUUUUACAAGUGGUUCUGAAACCUCAGUGUGACCCUGGAGACUCCUUAGAACACAUUUCGGGGGCCACUCCCAGAGUCUCUGGUCCAGGAGGUCUGAGGUGGGAUCAGAACGUACAUUUCUAUCAAAUUCCAGCCAGUGUUCCUUGUCCAGAGAUCUCACUUUGAGAACCACUGACUUACACAUUUUCUAAAAAAUAUUUUCUAUUUGACUUAGUUAUGACUUUGAUGUCCAUCCUUCGACCAUAAUAUAAGGUCGAGUUAGACAUUUAACUAACUCACAGAGGAGGACAGAGUCUGCAGGUAUUUACUGAACACCUUACAUGUGCCUGGUUCUAUUCUGGGCUCUUUACAUUCUUAAUCUUCUCACUUCAUCUUCCCUCUGGCUUUAUGAGUAAAGAGAUGUGAGAUCGUAUGAAUAAUGAGUAAAGUAUGAUAUGCUCUUUCCACUUAACAUGUAGAGCUGGACUCUUCAAGAGCUGGGAACUUUCCAACAGCAAACAUCUAGCAAAUGGCUGAACUUGAAUUUGGACCCAGGUGUGCCAGACUGCAAAGACCGCACUGCAGAGGAGCACUUCAGAACAUUCCUCAUGGUUUGAUUGAAUGAAUUUCACAGAUUUUAGUUCAUACCCACCUUGCAUGACUGGACACAAGUGAACUCCUUAAUUUCUGGACCUAAGUGUCUCUAUUUCUUAGGAGAAGUGCAACUAUUUAAUCCAAGUGCAUCUCAGAAAUAAGUGGGAAAGAUUGGAUGAGGACAGAGACCACCAGAUUCUGGCUGUCCUAGUGGGAAGGAAGGCAGCCGUUCUGUUCGCCGGUCAGCAAGACCUACGGGAGCUGCUAGCUUUCUUCAGAUGGAGCCUCCCACUACAUUGGCCUCCUGUCACCCAGCCUCCCCGAUGGCAGUGGCUGUCUGUCCUGAAUACCUACUCUCACCAACGUAACCAGACAGAACCAGACGUUCUCCGGAAUGGUCCACUGAGGAUUGACUCCUGUCCCCAUCGGCUCCUGUGUCCCGUUCGUUGAGGCUUGCCUGGGAGUCAGUAACCCUCCGCAUGUGAGUGCUGCAUAACACCUUCGGGGUCUGGAAUGUUGGAGAAGCCCCGGCGUUUGCUGGAGGCCAGGUGCUCUCGGUGUGAGGUGAGCUGGGUCACGGCAGCUGACUGAUGCAUGUACUAAGGUCCAGAUUUGUUUUGGGUCUGGUCUUCUGUGAGUCUGUCUUUCAUAUCAGUUCUCCUGUGCGUCUUUGUAUGUGUGUGAUAUGCUGUGAGAUUUUCUCUAAAAGUGGAGCACAAAAAAGCGGUCAGCUUCCUGCUAGUCAAAGUGUGAUUUAGAGAGAUGAAGUCUUCACUUUGAGGCUCCUCAUGGACUCACAGGUGGCUUCCUUCCCUCUUGUUUGAAGAGUGGGAGUAAAUUUGUACAAGUUUAUUGAGAGUGAAGAGUAAAUUUUUGUCUGGAGAAGGCAAAUUAAAUAAUUGUGAGCGAUGAGGCAUGUGAAAUUCAAGUGCAACAGAGAGUAUCAUUAAUUAACUGGAGACUGAACUUGAAGGCACCACUUGCAUGCCAAUGUAAACCACCAUGGCCACUAAUUAACCUGAGGUUGGGCUUGUUUUAACAGCAAGAUGUUGAUUUUCAAGCCAGCACAGAAAAAGAAGAGUUCAUAGUUGGGUUGAAUUGAUGCCACCCUCUAGACUCUGUUGGGUUGAACUGGGGCAGUGGUUUAUAAGAGGGUCCUUAUGAAGAACCUUCUCUUUGUUCCAGUCAUUAUUAAAAUUUAAAUUUAUUACCAAAGUUAAGAAAGCCAGUUAUGACACGGAGGCUUAAAUAAGAGUUCCCUGUGGGUUGGCCUGGCUCGCUGAUUGGUAGCCUCCAUUGUGGGGUGCUGGGGUAAGCUGGUUUUUUCACUGGGAGAUCUUGAGAUUUUAGUAGCUGUGUGUCUUUAAUCUGGGGCUCUCUGAUCCCAAUCCCAGGAGGGAGCCACUUUCUGUUUAUGCAGCGGUUGCUUCUGGGACUCCUAAAUAUUCAGAUUCCUAAGUACCAUUUCAAUUCUUCUUGAUUAUUCAGUUUUUGGUAUUAAUUUAUUGAUUUACUGAUUUUUUCUUAUGGUGGAUGAUCAUUUACCUCUGGGAGCUAAUUAAUCCUCCCCCAACCAGUCCUUCAACUGUACUUUGCUUUCCUCAUUCUCCCAACAAAGUCCAGGCAAUAUUUCUGGCUAUAGUAAUAUUCAGUGUUUACAUGCGUAUGCCUUGUAAAUAUUGUUUAUAUGUACAUGUUGUUUACUACUAAACCAAGCACUGCACUAACAUGACGAUUUCUUUUGUUUUACUUUUCCCGGAGUUGUUAACUGCAUACAUUUAUUUUGCUUAGUUUUUUUGUAUCUACUGCUGUUCUAUUUCAUACCCUCCAGCAGAUAACCCAGGAAUCCCUUCUGCCCUCCUCCCCCGACCUGCCUCCCGAGUCCUCCGCCUUCUGGCUCCAGUCCGGACUUGGUGCUCCUGGGCCUGCUGUCCUCCUGGGCCUUGUUUUUACCCUGGAAGUUUUCCCUCUCUCCCCCCGUCAGGUCCCGUUUCCUGGAUUCUCCAUCUUUCUCUGUCUUGAUGAUUUUCCUACAUUGGUCUCUGGAGUCUUUUAUAGCCUCUUAUUUUUUUAAUUGUAUUUUUUUCCAUAACUAUUUACCCCCACCCCCAUACCCUCUUCCAUCUCCAUCCCGCCCCUCCGCCCACAAUCACCACACUGUUGUCCGUGCCCACGAGUCCUUUUUCUUUUUCGCUCAAUCCUCAUCCACCAACAACCCCUCUCACUCAGAGCUGUCAGCCCCUUCUCUGUGAGUCUGUCUCCAUUUGCUUUGUUAGUUCAGUUUGUUCAUUAGAUUCCACAUAGGAGUGAAAUCGUAUGGUACUUUUCUUUCUUUGACUGGUUCAUUUCACUUAGCAUGAUGUUCUCUAGGUCCAUCCAUGCUGUUACAAAGGGGUAAUUUUUUUUUCAUGGCUGAAUGGCAUUCCAUUGUGUAAAUGUGCUAUAGCUGUUUCAUACAGUUAUCUACUGAUGGGCACUUGGGCUGCUUCCAAAUCUUGGCUAUUGUAAAUAAUGUUGCAGUGAACACAUGGGUACAUAUGUGUGUAUUCUUUUGAAUUAGUGUUUCAGGUUUCUUAGGAUAAAUUUCCAGAAGUAGAAUCGCUGGGUCAAAAGGCAGAUCCAUUUAAAAUUUUUUGAGGUGCCUCCAUACUGCUUUCCACAGUGGCUGCACCAGUCUGCAUUCCCACCAACAGUGCAGAAGGGUUCCCCUUUCUGAAGCCUCUUCUUUAUUCCUGGUGUGCUGAAAUUCCACAGCAAUGUCUGAUGGGUGUGUCUCUUUUCAUUUAUUAUGCCAGGUUAUAAAUGGCAGUUUUCUACCAAAGAGUCGUAUGCUCCAGUUCUGGAAACUUUAUUCUCUUCCUCUUCCUCCUCCUACUUUUUUUUUUUUAAAAAAAACUUCUUUCUCCUGCUU